CCGUAACUAUAACGGUCCUAAGGUAGCGAAAUUCCUUGUCGGGUAAGUUCCGACCUGCACGAAUGGCGUAAUGAUGGCCAGGCUGUCUCCACCCGAGACUCAGUGAAAUUGAACUCGCUGUGAAGAUGCAGUGUACCCGCGGCAAGACGGAAAGACCCCGUGAACCUUUACUAUAGCUUGACACUGAACACUGGUCCUUGAUGUGUAGGAUAGGUGGGAGGCUUUGAAGCGUGGACGCCAGUCUGCGUGGAGCCAACCUUGAAAUACCACCCUUUAAUGGCUGGUGUUCUAACGUAGACCCGUAAUCCGGGUUGCGGACAGUGUCUGGUGGGUAGUUUGACUGGGGCGGUCUCCUCCCAAAGAGUAACGGAGGAGCACGAAGGUUGGCUAAUCCUGGUCGGACAUCAGGAGGUUAGUGCAAUGGCAUAAGCCAGCUUGACUGCGAGCGUGACGGCGCGAGCAGGUGCGAAAGCAGGUCAUAGUGAUCCGGUGGUUCUGAAUGGAAGGGCCAUCGCUCAACGGAUAAAAGGUACUCCGGGGAUAACAGGCUGAUACCGCCCAAGAGUUCAUAUCGACGGCGGUGUUUGGCACCUCGAUGUCGGCUCAUCACAUCCUGGGGCUGAAGUAGGUCCCAAGGGUAUGGCUGUUCGCCAUUUAAAGUGGUACGCGAGCUGGGUUUAGAACGUCGUGAGACAGUUCGGUCCCUAUCUGCCGUGGGCGCUGGAGAAUUGAGGGGGGCUGCUCCUAGUACGAGAGGACCGGAGUGGACGCAUCACUGGUGUUCGGGUUGUCAUGCCAAUGGCACUGCCCGGUAGCUAAAUGCGGAAGAGAUAAGUGCUGAAAGCAUCUAAGCACGAAACUUGCCCCGAGAUGAGUUCUCCCUGAGACUUUAAGUCUCCUGAAGGAACGUUAAAGACUAUGACGUUGAUAGGUCGGGUGUGUAAGCGCAGCGAUGCGUUGAGCUAACCGAUACUAAUGAACCGUGAGGCUUAACCUU
rnacentral:rRNA from 1 species